rnacentral:lncRNA from 1 species
AAUGUAAAACCUGUAAAAUGGAAAUUCUGGUCUUAUUUUUCUCUAAAUUUAGAGAUCUCAUUCUUAUCCUUUAGAAAGACCAAAAUCAUAUAGGAUGAACUAUUAGGUUCUGAAAAAGUCAACCAAUGGAAUCAGCUAGUCCACAGUUGGAAGCACAAGGGCUUAAAAGCUGUGGGAUACUGCAACUGUUAAGUCCUGCAGCUUGCAAGAGGAAGGGGGCAUAAUUCUAAGAAAAAUUAAUUCUAUUAUCAACAAGAAGGUCCAGCACUGAGAGAGGGGUACAUUCUUUCUAUAAGAACCUGAAGACACUUAAGUACAUGAUUCAGGUUAAGGAAAAUUGCUAGCUUUUCAUAUUUAGGCACUUGGAAUUUUAGGCAAGUUGCUUUUCAAGCGGCACUCUGUUAUACAAGUCCUUAGUGAUAUUCAAUACUCUAAGCCAUCAAGAAUGCACUCUCCAAUUUAAUAUUUAUGAUUAAAAUUUUCAUGAGUAAAAUUCUUAUUUCAGUAAAGAUUUCAAAUAUAUUUUAAGAGAAUUAUAAAAGUAUUCCUUAGUUCAAAAAAAAGAACUGUUCUAUUUUUUGAAUACUAUUAUCUCCUCUGUUCUCAAACUUUAAGUAAGACACAUGAGAUAAGGGAUGUGUGCUUACAAAUUCCUCUGAUCAUAUUAAGCAGACCCUAGACAAUAAUUCACCAUCAAUGUGAAUUACACCACUUACUGUACAUCUGAUGAAGGCACUUUGUUCCACAUUUAAUACUGAUCAAGUUACACACUUUUUCUGAUCUUUGUUUAAGAAACUACAAUGAAGAGUAACUGUGUUCUUUAGUUGCUUAUUAGAAAAAAAUGAAAAACUGUAAGAACGAUGAUGAUGUUUACUGUUUUAUAAUUUUGGACAGGCUCUGGUAAAAUAGUCUCCAUUUCUCUGUAAAUCAACUUUGUGCGAUAAAUGCCACUAUCAUAUAUUACAUCCAUGAGAAAAUGUGAAAAGGGGAUAACUGAAAGAGGAUCUUACUUUAUGAAAUAUAACACAGUAAGAUAGAUACAUUAGAAUGUUGUAUAUAAGAGUUCCCGUCAUGGCACAGUGGUUAACGAAUCCGACUAGGAACCAUAAGGUUUCGGGUUCGUUCCCUGGCCUUGCUCAGUGGGUUAAGGAUCCGGUGUUGCCGUGAGCUGUGGUGUAGGUUGCAGAUGUGGCUUGGAUCCCACAUUGCUGUGGCUAUGCAGGCUGGCAGCUAUAGCUUGGAUUUGACCCCAGCCUGGGAACUUCCAUGUGCUAUGGAUGUGGCCCUAAAAAGACCAAAAAAAAAAAAGAAAAAAAAAGUAAAAAUCUGAUUAGAAAUUAGGGUCUGUUUUCUUAUGUGACUUUUUAACCUUCUCAAAAAACAUUAAAUAAAACAAGAAUUCUAAAUCUCUUAUGAGCUCUAGUAUAUAGUGAUUAUACCUUUUUAACAUGACUAUUUAAAAAUCAACACUUAUAUGUUAGUACCAAAAUAUUACUCCAAAAACUUGGCCUUGCAAUUGCCUUCAUAGAGGUGGUGACAGAUUAUCAUUGUGUGUGUUUUCUUAUAUCAUUAAUGAAAAACAAUGAUAGAGUGAUAGCGAAUAGUAACAGUGAAUCUAAAGAAAAUUCAGGAGAUAUUCUAGGUUAAAUCCACCCUGCAGGCACUUAUUUGCGGUCCUAAUGGGCUUUAUGUGAUUAUCUUUUUCUGUCUUUAUCCCUCACUGCCUACACUGUGCUCCAUGAGGGCAGAGAUCUGUCUACAGUGCUCACCAGUAUCCUCAGGUCCUAGGACUCUGACGGAUAUGUCAUUGGCAAUUAAGAAAUAUUUGCUGAAUUAAAUUGUCUUGUGUCUCCAAUGGUAUGAUCCAGGUAUGUCCUCAGGGCUGGAACGCUGAGUGUUUCUAGGGAAGUAAAGUAGAGACACCUAAAAUACGAAUUAAUUGGACCCAGGGAAUAAAAGUAAAAAAAAAAAUUAAAAAAAAUUCCUUUGCCUAAAAGUCAUACUAUCCUAAGAAAGGAAGACAAUGAGUAGGUAACUACAAGAGUUUAAUGAGUGGUGUGACAAAUGGAAAAGAUACAAUUUCUCCUUAAAAGUGAAUGGACUUACAAUUAAACUCAAAUGCCUUCACAUGAAAACGUCCUACAUAAUGUAGUCUUUCUCUGUCCCCAUUUCAUGUCUUAUUCUCCCUCAUGCUCACUGCAUUUCAGCCACCCCAGCCUAUGUUCCUUGAAUUUGACAACCACACUCACACAUCAGGGUCUCAGCAAUUGCUAUUCCUCCUGUCUGGAAUCUCUUUUCCACAGACCUCUGUAGGUACUACUUUCAUAUUCACGAUUUUAGGUUGCAAAGAGGGCUUCCUUUAUAGCUCUGUCUCAAGAAGACUCCCAUGCUUGUCCCUAGGCACUCCUUUACAUGUCCUAUCUUCUUCAUAGCACAUACUAAUAUAUGAAAUUAUCUGUUUAAUGGCUCAUAGUUUAUCAUUUCCCCUUCGACUGCAAAAUCUUAAGAAGACAAACUAUCCUAGUCAUAGCUGUACUAGCUGUGGUUCAAUUCUCCUGAACUGAACUUGGCAUAUGAUAGGCAUGAAUUAAUAUCUGCUGAAUCAAUGAAUGGUAUAUGUAAGCACAGGGCACUAGAGAACAGUUAAAAAAAAAAAAAAAGGUUGUUCUUUGAAGAAUGAGAAAAGAACAGAGCUAAGAGCUGGAAGCCAAUUCCAAGUAAUAUUGUUUGGGCUCCUAAUUAAACCACACCUGAAGUCACAAUAACUUUUUUUUUUUAAUAUGACUGAAUACAUUUCCUUUUUGCUUAAUCCACUUUGGAUUGGGGUUUCUAUUACUUUACUAGCAAAUACAACUGUCAUUCAGUGAAGCCAUAAUUUGAAACCUUAGAAAGCUGAUUACAGUUGUACUUAAGAAUAUUGCCACCUUAAGAAUUACCCUGAAUAAAAGAGUGCCACCCCCUCCCUCAUCAGAGGCGACGAGGCAGAGGCAAGGUAAUCUUAUGACAGAGUUACUACAUGCUGGACUGAACACUUUCUGAAUUUCCUUCUUAAGCUUCUAUAAUUCUAUAAACAAAACAUCUUAUCCAUUGUGUUAAAUAAAUAUAAAUUCUGAAAUACUUUAGGUUUUGAACUUGUCUGCCUUCAGCUUAGAAGGUUAUAUCUCUCUAUUUUGUUGACUCCCACAUUUACCU